rnacentral:rRNA from 1 species
UACAGAGGGGGCAAGCGUUGUUCGGAAUUACUGGGCGUAAAGGGCGCGUAGGCGGCCUGUUAAGUCGGACGUGAAAUCCCUCGGCUCAACCGGGGAACUGCGUCCGAAACUGGCGGGCUUGAAUUCGGGAGAGGGAUGUGGAAUUCCAGGUGUAGCGGUGAAAUGCGUAGAUAUCUGGAGGAAUACCGGUGGCGAAGGCGGCGUUCUGGACCAUUACUGACACUGAAUCGCGAAAGCUAGGGGAGCAAACGGG